AUAUCUCUCCGUACGGGAAGGAUGAGAAGCUUCGACUAAGGUUCGAUUCGAGCGCAGCGAGAAAGCGUUGCCGCAGGCAACGACCCGAAGGGCGAAGCGCGC
rnacentral:sRNA from 1 species